UACGGGGGGAGCAAGCGUUGUUCGGAUUUACUGGGCGUAAAGGGCGCGUAGGCGGCCACUGCAAGUCAGUUGUGAAAUCUCCGGGCUUAACCCGGAAAGGUCAACUGAUACUGCAGGGCUAGAGUGCAGAAGGGGCAACUGGAAUUCUCGGUGUAGCGGUGAAAUGCGUAGAUAUCGAGAGGAGCACCUGCGGCGAAGGCGGGUUGCUGGGCUGACACUGACGCUGAUGUGCGAAAGCUAGGGGAGCGAACGGG
rnacentral:rRNA from 1 species